GACUUAUAUUCUGUAGCAAGGUUAACCGUAUAGGGGAGCCGAAGGGAAACCGAGUCUUAACUGGGCGUUAAGUUGCAGGGUAUAGACCCGAAACCCGGUGAUCUAGCCAUGGGCAGGUUGAAGGUUGGGUAACACUAACUGGAGGACCGAACCGACUAAUGUUGAAAAAUUAGCGGAUGACUUGUGGCUGGGGGUGAAAGGCCAAUCAAACCGGGAGAUAGCUGGUUCUCCCCGAAAGCUAUUUAGGUAGCGCCUCGUGAACUCAUCUUCGGGGGUAGAGCACUGUUUCGGCUAGGGGGUCAUCCCGACUUACCAACCCGAUGCAAACUGCGAAUACCGAAGAAUGUUAUCACGGGAGACACACGGCGGGUGCUAACGUCCGUCGUGAAGAGGGAAACAACCCAGACCGCCAGCUAAGGUCCCAAAGUCACAGUUAAGUGGGAAACGAUGUGGGAAGGCUCAGACAGCCAGGAUGUUGGCUUAGAAGCAGCCAUCAUUUAAAGAAAGCGUAAUAGCUCACUGGUCGAGUCGGCCUGCGCGGAAGAUGUAACGGGGCUAAACUGUGCACCGAAGCUGCGGCAGCGACGCUUAUGCGUUGUUGGGUAGGGGAGCGUUCUGUAAGCCUGCGAAGGUGUCCUGUGAGGGAUGCUGGAGGUAUCAGAAGUGCGAAUGCUGACAUAAGUAACGAUAAUGCGGGUGAAAAGCCCGCUCGCCGGAAGACCAAGGGUUCCUGUCCAACGUUAAUCGGGGCAGGGUGAGUCGACCCCUAAGGCGAGGCCGAAAGGCGUAGUCGAUGGGAAACGGGUUAAUAUUCCCGUACUUGGUGUUACUGCGAAGGGGGGACGGAGAAGGCUAUGUUGGCCGGGCGACGGUUGUCCCGGUUUAAGCGUGUAGGCUGGUUUUCCAGGCAAAUCCGGAAAAUCAAGGCUGAGGCGUGAUGACGAGGCACUACGGUGCUGAAGCAACAAAUGCCCUGCUUCCAGGAAAAGCCUCUAAGCAUCAGGUAACAUCAAAUCGUACCCCAAACCGACACAGGUGGUCAGGUAGAGAAUACCAAGGCGCUUGAGAGAACUCGGGUGAAGGAACUAGGCAAAAUGGUGCCGUAACUUCGGGAGAAGGCACGCUGACACGUAGGUGAAGUGAUUUACUCAUGGAGCUGAAGUCAGUCGAAGAUACCAGCUGGCUGCAACUGUUUAUUAAAAACACAGCACUGUGCAAACACGAAAGUGGACGUAUACGGUGUGACGCCUGCCCGGUGCCGGAAGGUUAAUUGAUGGGGUCAGCGCAAGCGAAGCUCCUGAUCGAAGCCCCGGUAAACGGCGGCCGUAACUAUAACGGUCCUAAGGUAGCGAAAUUCCUUGUCGGGUAAGUUCCGACCUGCACGAAUGGCGUAAUGAUGGCCAGGCUGUCUCCACCCGAGACUCAGUGAAAUUGAACUCGCUGUGAAGAUGCAGUGUACCCGCGGCAAGACGGAAAGACCCCGUGAACCUUUACUAUAGCUUGACACUGAACAUUGAGCCUUGAUGUGUAGGAUAGGUGGGAGGCUUUGAAGUGUGGACGCCAGUCUGCAUGGAGCCGACCUUGAAAUACCACCCUUUAAUGUUU
rnacentral:rRNA from 1 species